rnacentral:rRNA from 1 species
UACGUAGGUGGCAAGCGUUGUCCGGAAUUAUUGGGCGUAAAGCGCGCGCAGGCGGUCCCUUAAGUCUGAUGUGAAAGUCCACGGCUCAACCGUGGAGGGUCAUUGGAAACUGGGGGACUUGAGUACAGAAGAGGAAAGCGGAAUUCCACGUGUAGCGGUGAAAUGCGUAGAGAUGUGGAGGAACACCAGUGGCGAAGGCGGCUUUCUGGUCUGUAACUGACGCUGAGGCGCGAAAAGCGUGGGGAGCAAACAGG